UACAAAGGAAGUUGACGGGGCCCGCACAAGCGGAGGAGCAUGUGGUUUAAUUCGAUGAUACGCGAGGAACCUUACCUGGGCUCGAACGUAAGAUGACUGUAGGUGAGAGCUUACAUCUCUUCGGAGCAUUUUACGAGGUGCUGCAUGGUUGUCGUCAGCUCGUGCCGUGAGGUGUCGGGUUAAGUCCCAUAACGAGCGCAACCCUACCUUUAGUUGCCAUCAGGUAAUGCUGGGGACUCUAAAGGAACUGCCUACGCAAGUAGUGAGGAAGGCGGGGAUGACGUCAAAUCAGCACGGCCCUUACGUCCAGGGCUACACACGUGCUACAAUGGCCGAUACAGAGGGCAGCUACCUGGUGACAGGAUGCAAAUCUCCAAAGUCGGUCUCAGUUCGGAUCGGAGUCUGCAACCCGACUCCGUGAAGUUGGAUUCGCUAGUAAUCGCGCAUCAGCCAUGGCGCGGUGAAUACGUUCCCGGGCCUU
rnacentral:rRNA from 1 species